rnacentral:lncRNA from 1 species
UCUGAAGAAACCAAACCCAGUCAUAAAGUGCAACAUGGAAAUCGGAAAAAAAAAUUAUCUUUCCAAAACCGUCUGGUUUAUUCUGGGCACCAACUUAAUAACUGCCGCUGCUAGGAGAAGUGCAAUUUGCUGCCACGGGAAGGCUUAAAAAUGUCAAACACGUUCUUGCAAAAUACAAUGCAUGCCGCCUGCAAAUGAAAGGACCCCUUCGACUGGCGCGUCUCCAACUUCGGUGCAGUUUCAUAAUUGUAGCACUUACUCAGAAUUGAAAGCUUCACCGCAUGAUGUAAACAGUCACACCCCCGUGGCCCUGCGGAGGUUUUCAGGGGUGCAGAGCAAGUGUGGGCAGCUGCAGACAAUGGAGCCAACUGUAAGACCGUCCUACAAGGGUCCCAGUGUCACUACACAAGACAGAAUCCAGAGUGUGGGAGUGGGGCGGGGAGCCCGGCUGAGAAGCAGAAGGCUGUCAGGUCUCAGGGUGGAAGGUGCGGCCAGCCUUUCAAGCAUCUUCACCUCCUCGUCACAGUACAGAGCCAACACCGCCUGUACACAGUCAAUAUGGCUGCCGCCAAGCUCACUUAUCCAAAGCUAACCCCUCUGUUACCUGUAAGUCUUUACCGUUGGUGUUUUAGUUAGGACUCCAACAAAAUGGUCAACAUUAAGCCCAAAGCAGAUAAAAUGUAGCAAAUUAGAGAAUGAAGGUGCCUGCUGGAGACC